rnacentral:rRNA from 1 species
AGAUAAUAGAUACCCGGGUAGUCCACACCCUAAACGAUGACAACUGGCUAUAAGGAGUAUCGACCCUCUUUGUGGCGAAAGCUAAACGCGUUAAGUUGUCCGCCUGGGUAGUACGGCCGCAAGGCUAAAACUCAAAGGAAUAGACGGGGACUUGCACAAGCGGUGGAUCAUGCGGCUCAAUUCGAUGACAAACGAAGAACCUCACCAGGGUUUGAAACCCAGACGAUCGCUCUAGGAAACUAGAGCUUCCGCAAGGCGGCUGGGCAGGUGAUGCAUGGUCGUCGUCAGUUCGUGGCUUGAGUUGUUCCCUUCAGUGGGGUAACGAACGCAACCCUCGUUGCCUGUUUUAAAAGUCAGGCGAGACUGCCCCCUCACGGGGGAGGAAGGUGAGGAUGACGCCAGAUCAGCAUGUCCCUCUGAUAUCCUGGGCUGCACGCAUGAUACAAUGGACGAGACAACGGGUCGCGACGGAGUAAUCCUGAGCUAAUCCUUAGAACUCGUCCCAGUUCGGAUUGAGGGCUGCAACUCGCCCUC